GACGAACGCUGGCGGCGUGCUUAACACAUGCAAGUCGAGCGGUAAGGCCCUUCGGGUACGACGAGCGGCGAACGGGUGAGUAACACGUGGGUGACCUGCCUCUAGCUCUGGGAUAAGCCUGGGAAACUGGGUCUAAUACCGGAUAUGACUCCACGGCGCAUGUUGUGGGGUGGAAAGCCUUGUGUGGCUAGAGAUGGGCCCGCGGCCUAUCAGCUUGUUGGUGGGGUGAUGGCCUACCAAGGCGACGACGGGUAGCCGGCCUGAGAGGGCGACCGGCCACACUGGGACUGAGACACGGCCCAGACUCCUACGGGAGGCAGCAGUGGGGAAUCUUGCGCAAUGGGCGAAAGCCUGACGCAGCGACGCCG
rnacentral:rRNA from 1 species